UGGUGGCGAGCGGCGGACGGGUGAGUAAUGCCUAGGAAUCUGCCUGGUAGUGGGGGAUAACGUUCGGAAACGGACGCUAAUACCGCAUACGUCCUACGGGAGAAAGCAGGGGACCUUCGGGCCUUGCGCUAUCAGAUGAGCCUAGGUCGGAUUAGCUAGUUGGUGAGGUAAUGGCUCACCAAGGCGACGAUCCGUAACUGGUCUGAGAGGAUGAUCAGUCACACUGGAACUGAGACACGGUCCAGACUCCUACGGGAGGCAGCAGUGGGGAAUAUUGGACAAUGGGCGAAAGCCUGAUCCAGCCAUGCCGCGUGUGUGAAGAAGGUCUUCGGAUUGUAAAGCACUUUAAGUUGGGAGGAAGGGCAUUAACCUAAUACGUUAGUGUUUUGACGUUACCGACAGAAUAAGCACCGGCUAACUCUGUGCCAGCAGCCGCGGUAAUACAGAGGGUGCAAGCGUUAAUCGGAAUUACUGGGCGUAAAGCGCGCGUAGGUGGUUCGUUAAGUUGGAUGUGAAAUCCCCGGGCUCAACCUGGGAACUGCAUUCA
rnacentral:rRNA from 1 species